CCGGUGUCCGCGACUACACUGGCUAGAUGGGUCCGCUGGCUACUAUCGUUAGCAGGCGUUGAACCUCACUUCGGUGCACAUUCGGUCAGAGGGGCGGCAGCCUCCCAAGCCUUAACGGCGGGCGCCUCUCUAAUCGACAUUAUGCGCUGCGCAGACUGGACACGAGAAAGUACUUUCAGGACGUUCUAUUUCCGUCAAACAUCUCAUGCUUCCUUCACACUAAUCAAUUC